GCCCAAGUGGCGGAAUUGGCAGACGCGCUAGAUUCAGGUUCUAGUGUCCUUAACGGACGUGGAGGUUCGAAUCCUCUCUUGGGUA
rnacentral:tRNA from 2 species